CGGAAAGUUAAAUAGAUUCAACCCGUGUGGGGUAUUUUGAAUUAGCAAAAAAGUGGUUAAAUAGCGGGGACGUUAAAAUUAGGGCAUUUUGAAUGAGAAUGGGUAGUCUCUUGUUGAAAUGAUGGAAAGGAGUAGGGCAAAACGUUGUGUCAUUGAGAUUUCCUCUUCUUCCGAGCAAGAAAAUGGUGACGAUGAAGGAGGAGGAGAAAGUUCAGAAGAAUCAGUACAAAUAUUAGGAUCGGAUGACGAUUUUGAUGCCGCUAGUACAUAUGAUUUUGACGACUCUGCCUCAAGCGAGAGCAACGGUGAUUCCGAAGAUGAGGAGGAAGACGAGUCUUCCCCGUCUCAACAACAUGGUGAUGAGGAUAUCCAAGAGGAAGGUGAGGAAUCGGGUAGCGAAAGAGUGCUUCAGCUUCUCCAAGGUGGUGGAGAAUUGAGGAAGCUAAUUGAAGGAUUGGGGAAGCUCGCUUUGACGGACUAUAAAGCAUAUUUGCGAUCAAAUGGGUUGAGGUUAUCAGGUACAAAAGAAGAAUGUAUACAGAGGAUCAUAGAGCACUGGAGGAUUAAAGAUGGAAAUGGUCAAAGACAAUAUCCCAGAUCAUCUUUUACCAUAAACUGCACUGGUAGUUAAUAUUUGGCAUCAGCCAUCAAUGACACCUCAGGAUCUCUGUUUCAUCUAUGCUUCUUGUACUUCCCCUUUUGUUUUUGAUCUUUGAGUGUUUAGGUUGGUGAUUCCAUGUGCAGGUGACGUAUGUAAAGGAGAUGUUGUAUUAUUUCAACAGAAAGUGUACAAGAAGUUUGAAAAGAUGAGAAGGGGUGGAGAACAAUCAGGGAAGAGAACCAUUGCUGGUAGGAUUGUCAAGGAGAGCUAUGGCGCUGCCAAACAGCAGCAUACCUUUACGGUUGAGGUGUUAUGGAGCCAAGGGGUUAAACAAUUACCUCCACUUUUUCCAUUGCUUGUGAAGGGACGAAACCUUUAUAAGAUGAAGACUUUCAGACAGAGAUGGAGGGAUGAAGAGGAAAGACUAGAAGUGCUCGGAGAGAAGCACAAACGUGGAGAUGCAGCGAGAUUUAUUAGAGCAACAAGAAAAUCAAAAUCAACAAAGCCGACAAAAGCAUCCUCUAAAAACAAAGUUUUUGUUACAUGUAGGUAACAAGCGCCAGAAACUUGAUCAUCAUAUGAGGCCAAGCAAAAUGAUGCAGACAAGCAAUGUAAAGAAACAUAAUCAUUCUAUUGAUGAACGUUGGAAAGCAAUGGCAGGAAGUAAAAGAACGAAAAAACAUCAGCGAAAGCCUUAUCCACCAGGAAGAUUGAAUUUGGCAGAGGCCAGUAACUGUAAACCCCCUAUGAGGAAUCCAAGCUUUGUGCCUGCCGUUAGGGAGACCUCAUUGCAGUUCAAUUAUCCUCCAGCAACUAAUUUUCGCCAAUUUGAGUCAUAUUCUUACAGCCAAAGAAUACAAUAUUCGCAUUCAUCUAACUGGUGUUCAGCGCCAAGAUCACAUUUAGGCUCUUACUCCUCUUAUACUUUGCCUGUUCCAGAGCAUCAACGUUAUGGUCAUGGAAGUUAUCCAAAUUCUUCAUACGCUAGGUAUGUAUCUCAGUCUAACAAUUAUCCGCAUCCCCCUGGCAUGUUGGGUAUUGAUAGAUCAUCUGACUCAAUCCCAUUUGUAAACUAUGAACGUAGAUGGAACUCUUAGCUUUUUGUUUCUCUUACACACAAACUUGUGCUCUGCACAUAGCAGCAGCAAGGGGUUUACAUAAACAAAAUAGUGCAAGGUGUCUUAAACUG
rnacentral:misc_RNA from 1 species